AAAUUGAAGAGUUUGAUCAUGGCUCAGAUUGAACGCUGGCGGCAGGCCUAACACAUGCAAGUCGAACGGUAACAGGAAACAGCUUGCUGUUUCGCUGACGAGUGGCGGACGGGUGAGUAAUGUCUGGGAAACUGCCUGAUGGAGGGGGAUAACUACUGGAAACGGUAGCUAAUACCGCAUAACGUCGCAAGACCAAAGAGGGGGACCUUCGGGCCUCUUGCCAUCGGAUGUGCCCAGAUGGGAUUAGCUAGUAGGUGGGGUAACGGCUCACCUAGGCGACGAUCCCUAGCUGGUCUGAGAGGAUGACCAGCCACACUGGAACUGAGACACGGUCCAGACUCCUACGGGAGGCAGCAGUGGGGAAUAUUGCACAAUGGGCGCAAGCCUGAUGCAGCCA
rnacentral:rRNA from 1 species